GUGUUUCCUCCCUGCCUCAGGAGGCUGGGUCCAAUCUGUGACAGCAAACGCUGCAGGUGACGUCUAGGAGCCCUUAAAGUUGAGCCUACUGAUUUAGGAGAGGAUUGUUUCCCGACCUAUAUCCAUGACUGGAUAUAUUUCUAUGACAAAAUCCAAGCUGUAAUUCUUAUCUCGCCCUCAAGGUACCUGCAAGGUAGGUUCCCCCACUUCAGUGCUAUCAAGGGAUCUGCACUUCACACUGAAACAAGGUCUGCCCUGCUUUACUAAGGAAGUCACAGCCAGUGACCUCAAUCCUGACCUACAACAGUCACCCACUCCCCACCGGAAUGGAAAAGGUCAUUUCGUCACCUCAGCCAGCAGUCCUCAGGAGACUCCAACAUCCCAGCUCCACGCAGCGUUCUUAGAGUUGAUGUCUUCUCUCAAGGGAACAGAAGAAAUGAGUGCUACAACCCCAAGACAAGCCCCGUUUUGCUUAUGACCCCGAGAAAACAGAACCAACCAGAGCAGAAUUUCCUCAGCUUUCUGCUGUCAUGUACACAACCAACUUGCAUCCCUUCAGUAUCCAGAAGCCAACCCUGCAGUUGCAAGCCCGUGUGGCUUUGCGCCUCCCCCUCCCUGGAGCCCUUGGCUCCUGAAGCUUGGCUUGCUGUAACACCAGGUUCCUCUCCUAGCAGAUCAUUCUCAUCAGCAUUCAGGUAUGUAUCCAUGCUUCGUAUCUCAAAACAGCCUUCCCCUCUGAGAACCUGCCCCCUAUUCAGACACUACCCAAUUCUCUGCUUCCUUCUACAGCAAAAUUCCUCAAGCAUUCUCUAAUAGCUGUUUCUGCCUCCACCCAUUAAUUUCCUAUUUCUUAAGUGUUUGAUUUCAUUUAUUGCUUAAGCAAUUUCACAUCAGCAAAGUAAUGAAUACAAUAAAUACCUCCCUCACAGUCCACUAGCCUAAGAUACCAAUUAUUCUUGUUUGGUUUGUGCACUGAUGCAACCAUA